GACUUGGUAGCUCAGCUGGAUAGAGCAACGGCCUUCUAAGCCGUCGGUCAGGAGUUCGAAUCUCCUCCGAGUCGCCA
rnacentral:tRNA from 1 species